GCCUAGCCCUAAACACAAGUGACGCCUUACAUCACUUGCUUGCCAGGGAACUACGAGCCCCAGCUUAAAACCCAAAGGACUUGGCGGUGCUUUAGACCCCCCUAGAGGAGCCUGUUCUAGAACCGAUAACCCCCGUUCAACCUCACCCUCUCUUGUUUUUCCCGCCUAUAUACCGCCGUCGUCAGCUUACCCUGUGAAGGUUUAAUAGUAAGCAUAAUUGGUUUAACCUAAAACGCCAGGUCGAGGUGUAGCGUACGAGAGGGGAAGAAAUGGGCUACAUUCACUGACCCAGUGAAUACGAACAAUGCCUUGAAACAGCCAUUUGAAGGAGGAUUUAGCAGUAAGGAGGGGAAUAGAGUGCCCCCCUGAAACCGGCCCUGAAGCGCGC
rnacentral:rRNA from 2 species